rnacentral:rRNA from 1 species
AACGUAGGAGGCAAGCGUUGUCCGGAUUUAUUGGGUUUAAAGGGUGCGUAGGUGGUCAUGUAAGUCAGUGGUGGAAUACGGCAGCUUAACUGUCGAGGUGCCAUUGAUACUGCGUGACUUGAGUACAGACGAGGUAGGCGGAAUUGACGGUGUAGCGGUGAAAUGCUUAGAUAUCGUCAAGAACACCGAUAGCGAAGGCAGCUUACUAGACUGUAACUGACACUGAGGCACGAAAGUGUGGGGAUCAAACAGG